UGGGGGAUAUUGCACAAUGGGCGAAAGCCUGAUGCAGCGACGCCGCGUGGGGGAUGAAGGCCUUCGGGUUGUAAACUUCUUUUGCUCUGAACAAGGCAUGCCUUUGGGGUGUGUUGAGUGUAGGGGUUGAUUAGCGCCGGCUAACUUCGUGCCAGCAGCCGCGGUAAUACGUAGGGCGCGAGCGUUGUCCGGAAUUAUUGGGCGUAAAGGGCUUGUAGGUGGCUGGUUGCGUCUGUCGUGAAAGCUCAUGGCUUAACUGUGGGUUUGCGGUGGGGACGGGCUGGCUUGAGUGCAGUAGGGGAGGCUGGAAUUCCUGGGGUAGCGGUGGAAUGCGCAGAUAUCAGGAGGAAUACCGGUGGCGAAGGCGGGUCUCUGGGCUGUUACUGACGCUGAGGAGCGAAAGCGUGGGGAGCGAACAGG
rnacentral:rRNA from 1 species